rnacentral:rRNA from 1 species
GUGGGAUGGGCGCAUCCUACACAGGCAGUCGUACGCUGUCUAAUCAACCACCGGAGCUUGCUCCACCGGAAAAGAGGAGUGGCGAACGGGUGAGUAACACGUGGGUACCUGCCCAUCAGAAGGGGAUAACACUUGGAAACAGGUGCUAAUACCGUAUAACAAUCGAAACCGCAUGGUUUUGAUUUGAAAGGCGCUUUCGGGUGUCGCUGAUGGAUGGACCCGCGGUGCAUUAGCUAGUUGGUGAGGUAACGGCUCACCAAGGCCACGAUGCAUAGCCGACCUGAGAGGGUGAUCGGCCACAUUGGGACUGAGACACGGCCCAAACUUAUACGGGAGGCAGCAGUAGGGAAUCUUCGGCAAUGGACGAAAGUCUGACCGAGCAACGCCGCGUGAGUGAAGAAGGUUUUCGGAUCGUAGAACUCUGUUGUUAGAGAAGAACAAGGAUGAGAGUAACUGUUCAUCCCUUGACGGUAUCUAACCAGAAAGCCACGGCUAACUACGUGCCAGCAGCCGCGGUAAUACGUAGGUGGCAAGCGUUGUCCGGAUUUAUUGGGCGUAAAGCGAGCGCAGGCGGUUUCUUAAGUCUGAUGUGAAAGCCCCCGGCUCAACCGGGGAGGGUCAUUGGAAACUGGGAGACUUGAGUGCAGAAGAGGAGAGUGGAAUUCCAUGUGUAGCGGUGAAAUGCGUAGAUAUAUGGAGGAACACCAGUGGCGAAGGCGGCUCUCUGGUCUGUAACUGACGCUGAGGCUCGAAAGCGUGGGGAGCAAACGGGAUUAGAUACCCUGGUAGUCCACGCCGUAAACAAUGAGUGCUAAGUGUUGGAGGGUUUCCGCCCUUCAGUGCUGCAGCUAACGCAUUAAGCACUCCGCCCGGGGAGUACGACCGC